ensembl:lncRNA
GCCUGACUGCCAUUAGGUACUGAGAUGAAAUCCUCAGACCCCCCUGUGAGAUCAUAUGUUGGUGCGGGCAGCUCUGGUUUCCUCCUAAUGCAAGACAAUGCUGAACCUCAUGUGGCUGCAGUGUGUCAGCAUUUCCUGCAGGACGAAGGCAUUGAUGCUGUGGACUGGUCCAGCUGUUCCCCAGACCUGAUUCAACCCAGCACAUCUGGGACGUCAUGUCUCGCUCCGUCCACCAACUGCACCACAGACUGUCCAGGAGUUGGCAGAUGCUUCAGUCCAGGUCUGAGAGGAGGUCCCUCAGGAGACCAUCCACCACCUCAUCAGGAGCAUGUCCAGAUGCAGCUGCAGUCGGCUCAGCAGUGAGAACUGAAGACGUCAGUCAAAGAGAAGGAAAAACAGUCAGAGCUGAGAGGUACAGCUGCUCUUCUUUUAGUACAAACACCAUAAAUCUGUUGCUCACAAUCAAACUUUAUUGUAUGUUUAAGUUUGUGUCACUUUUCAAACCAUCGUUACGAGUGCUUCCCAGAGACGAUGAGUGAAAGAGCAAAGAGUAAAUUAUGAAUCAAACUACGGCCACACAGACUCAAGCGUCAUGUGGUGAAUAACUUCCAACAGCUGGAUGAAUAAGAUGAGUUAAAGUUUAUAUAUUAGUCUUUAACAAGGAUUUAAAAGACGACACUGAUGAGGCGAGCCAGAUUUCUUCAGGCAGGUCGUCCCAGGAUCGAGGAGUCCUCACAGCAAACAUUCAGUCGUCUUUAAGUGUGAGCUGGGAACAGUGAACAGGUUUGUGGCUGCAGCAUCUCAGGAUGUACACACUGACUGGGACACAAGCACCAGUUCCACUAAAUAUUCUGGUGCCAGUAACCUGUUAAGAUGGAGCAAUUUGAUGUUAUUUAAUCAGUUUAUUUUUCAUCCUGCAGUUAAAAUGUAUCAAAACAAGAUUGUGUGUCUGCAGAUGCUGUGUGAUCUGACACACCUGCACAAAAUGUGUCAAAGUUCAAUAAGUUACAUUAUUGUAACUGUGAUGCGUUCACUGACGUGUCCUGAUGCUUUGCUGUAUAUAAAGAGAACAGAGAGGCUCUGCUUUGUGCUUAUAUUCUCCUCCUGUGUGUUUGUGUGUGCAGAGUUUCUACCAGAGCCAAAUGUCAUCUACUCCUCACUGAAGUCGUCCACCAGUCCAACCACUGGGAUCCAGCUGCUGCUCUCUAACUGGUCCAUACAGCAGCUCCCUGAGACAUCCUGGAGACUCGGACAAUCGUUGUCAGAAAGGAAAUCACUCAAAUAAGUCAAUAACUAAUCAGAGACGUCUGAUUAUCAGACAGUUACAAGGUUGAUGGUAACACAUUUUAUAUCCUUGGACUAAACUCAGUCUGCAUCUACAGGAUGGCUCUUAUUUCAUUAUUACUGACUUUUUAUCACCAUUUUAACCUCUGCUUUAUAACUAAAGUGCUCAGCAGCAAGUUUUCAUAAAGUCAGACUAAAGUGAAAGGAGUCAAAUACAAUCUCUUUGUGUUUAUUUAAAGUUCACAGAGGAAUGAAUCACUGUUUAUGUGAUGUUUGAUGUCACAGCUGUCUGUGUCACUGUGAGAGACAAUGAACAUAAAAAUAAACAUUAUUUAAAAUCUGAAUAUUAACACACAUUUAUGGAUGGUUUGUCA